rnacentral:rRNA from 1 species
CCUACGUGCGGCAGCAGUGAGGAAUAUUGGUCAAUGGACGAGAGUCUGAACCAGCCAAGUAGCGUGAAGGAUGACUGCCCUAUGGGUUGUAAACUUCUUUUAUAUGGGAAUAAAAUGUUCCACGUGUGGGAUUUUGUAUGUACCAUAUGAAUAAGGAUCGGCUAACUCCGUGCCAGCAGCCGCGGUAAUACGGAGGAUCCGAGCGUUAUCCGGAUUUAUUGGGUUGAAAGGGAGCGUAGGUGGAUUGUUAAGUCAGUUGUGAAAGUUUGCGGGUCAACCGUAAAAUUGCAGUUGAAACUGGCAGUGUUGAGGACAGGAGAGGUGGGCGGAAGUCGUGGUGUAGCGGUGAAAUGCUUAGAUAGCACGAAGAACGCCGAUUGCGAAGGCAGCUCACUGGACUGCAACUGAGACUGAGGCUCGAAAGUGUGGGUAUCAAACAGGAUUAGGUACCCUGGUAGUC